AGUCGUCGAGUUGCGGCUCCCCGGGAUGGGUCUUUCCGGCCAACUCCCCGCCGGCUCCAUCGGAAACCUCACCGAACUUCACACCCUCUCUCUCCGCUUCAACGCCCUCUCCGGCUCGGUACCCCCGGACUUGGCCUCAUGCGUCAACCUCCGAAACCUCUACUUGCAGGGAAACUUUUUCUCCGGUGACAUUCCGGAGUUUUUGUUCACUCUCAGUAACCUUAUUCGCCUUAACCUCGCCGGAAACAACUUCUCCGGCGAGAUCUCUUCGGACUUUAAUAAGCUCACCCGGUUGGGCACUCUGUAUUUGAACGACAACCACCUCACCGGCUCGAUCCCAAAGCUGAAUUUGAAUCUUCAACAGUUCAAUGUUUCCAACAAUCAGUUGGACGGCUCGAUCCCCUCCAAGCUCUCGAAUUUUCCGGCGACGGCCUUCCAAGGCAACUCGCUCUGUGGAGGACCCCUU
rnacentral:lncRNA from 1 species